AGGUUGUGAACCGGAUGUCAGCUGUUGGAACUAAAGGGCAUUUGAGCUUUUGGACAGCUUAGCCCAGCAGAACUCAUUUCAUACCGUUGACGUUGAACAGAUUGACAGCCUGCAUGGAAUGGGGACUAAAAUAAAGCUCUCGGUAGGGCCACCAACCUCCAGAUCUGGUACUGGACCAGGCUGCCCAGGGCCCCAUCCAACCUGGUCUCAGAGCCAUUCGCCAGGGAAACAUUCAGCAGUGCUGAGCUGUGCAAAGCGAGCCCAGCUGGAGUAGCUGCUUACACCUGUUUCUGAGCUGCAGCAUGAUAUAGAGAAAUGAGCAGGAGGCAGUAGUUCUGCUUCAGAGCAGCUGAAAAGGGAUUUAUUUUCAUUAGAAAGACACUUGCAACCUCUAGACAACAAACUGAAGUUUGUGGUCAGAGCAGUAUGCUCUGAAACCCAUCGGAAUGGCUCUAUUCAGCCCUGCAGAAGUAAUCACUUUACAGAAGCUAAUAAAGAAUGGAUUAAGCUACAGCUUUGAAGAACUCAUCUCAAAAGGACCCUGAAACCACUGUCUAAAAGCAAUAUUAUCAGCAUUAGAAGCUGAAAAAUUACACCAACAGAUCUAGUUGUUUCUCAAACCCAUAUGAACUUGUGAGAACUGCAGCAUUGCACAACAAGUGCUUCUGCAACUUCUGCUUGCUUAAAGGGAAGAAGUCCAAGUGAUGCUGUAUGCUCAGAUACUGGGAAAUGACUUAUCUGGCAGCUGUAUAGUUUGAUUGUGUAUACUACUGCAAAAGAAACGGCAUAGCCCCAUUCCAAAUGUUACUCUUGAAGGUGGCCUCAGAGAUAUUAGCCCAGAUUGAAGGCCGGUAGCAGCUCCUUCACAGUGAGCCCACACAGAUCCUAUUUUUGUGUCUAUUAGAGAACAGAUGUCAAGUGUAUGCAUCAGCAGAUUUAUCCAGACAUCCGUCAUCCCGAGCAGGAUGACUGGUGGUGACCUGAGGCCUGACAUCUGCCUGCUGCAGUGCAACUGAAAGACAUCAGCUUUCUUUGAGGAUGUGGAGACCACCUGAGCAGACCUGAAAUUACGAAGACAGGUGUCUGAGGCUUAACAGAUGAAAACCACUUGCUGAAAAUAAAGGUCAGACCAUGGUAGAAAAGAGGUGACCUCUUUCUCAGCUCAGUUCACCAACAAUAUCUAUGGGAAACAGCUGUGACAGUUCCCUUCAGCACAAUAUCCACAGGUCCAAGCUGUUAAAACUGUAGUUAGUCUGCCUGGGCUACUGCUAUCUGCAAUGCUCUUCACAGAAGUAAGCAUUCUGCCUGAGACUGAGCCAUGAGUGCAGUAAUUUUGGGCAAAUGUUGCAAAACUCAGAAGCAGGUAGGUUUUCAAGGCCAGUUGGAUGGGGCCCUGGGCAGCCUGGUGAAGUAUUAGAUAUGGAGAUUGGUGGCCCUGCCUGAGGCAGAGGGGUUGGAACUUCAUGAUCCUUGAGGUCCCAUUCAACCCAAGCCAUUCUGUGGUUCUAUAAUUCUAUGAUUUUUAGGAUUCAAAGCUUGCUUGGACUUCCACAUACCCUUUAUCCGUGAUGAAGGUCAAAUGACCCUCAGCAGGUCAUCAGAAAGGAAUCAUCAAGACAAGUGGAAGAUAUUUCACGCAGGAGUAACACUGCUUAAAAUGAUGCUCCGUUCUUUUUGCUGAAGUACAAUGAAGCCUGAUGAUCUCCAAGCUGAAGGUGUGGUGGGCCACUAUACUGCCUUGGCUGAUGUUCCUGUUAUUCUGAGUCCUUUUGUGGCUUUUGAAAAUCCAGAAUGGUCCUUGAGGGCAUGGAGAGACCCUCGAUGACAGGGUGGGAUUGUUUUUUCUUCACUUCACCGUUGCAGGCAGACAGCUGGGAGGACCAAGGAAGAGCUCUUGUUCUUUUGCCUGCUUGGAGGAGAAAGUCAUUAAGUGGAUUAUCUCACUGGAUAAAGGUAUGAAGGUAAGAGGAAGAAUGGUCAGAAGCCCUCCCACUGCUGUGGUCCUUCUGGUGAUGCCCUCAGCCAUCGCAUGCAGGAUCCAUACAAAAGGUGAUUCCACGGUAAUAUAUUCUGUGCUAGUUUCUGGCAGGAAACAAUAGAUGCAAUGUGGGAGCUUAAAGAAGAGAGAUGCUGGGAAGACAUCAUACCUUUUCUGACUGUUCCAUAUCACAUCACUCUGUUUGGAGAUACUGUGUUUCAUCUCCUACAAAGUAAAUUGCUGGCUGACAGCUGGAACCACCUCUACUAUAAAUUAUUGCACUCACAAGCAAGUUGGAUAUCUACCAUAGGAUCAUCAAACACAGAGGAGUGGCAGUUUCUCUUUGCAGUCGAGGCGCCAGAUCCCAACAUGCCAGAGGUUGUGCUGAAAAUCAGGACUUGGGGCUCUUCCUUUGCUGAGAAGAUAAAGUGGCAACUCUUGUGAAAUCCCACCCCUGCUUCACCAGCUGAAUGAAGUCCAAAAACUUGAUGCUUCAAACAUUUCACAGAGAUGGAAAAAAUACGAGAGCCAAAAAGAUUGUUAAAAAGAAUCCACAGUGAGGAAGACGGGAAUGCUAUCUGUGGUUCUCAUAUGAGGAAGAGCAAGCUAGGUCCAGCAUGAAGCUCCAAAACUUCUAAACCCUGCAGAUAGAUGGUCUUCAGAAUAUGCAGUGGAGUUUAUCCAGUUUAACUCAGCCCAGCUGAUGCCAGCAGGUGGAGUUUCGCUGUGAGGUUUGUAAAGCUGCACCAUUCCCACUAGUCACUGAGGUCCUAACCAGUGCACUGCUGUGUGCAUGAAGUCCUGCUCUUAUCUGCUCAGUCUGGUAACUGAAAGUGCAAAGUGGCAAUUAGGUUCACCAUUAGCCCAUCAGCAAGUGCACAUUCAGGAUCAGAUCUACGUUUUGCAUGCCCAAGGCUGAGAGGUGCCAAUGGCUCUCCGUUACUGCUGGACAAGCAGAUAUGAAAAGUUGGCAUCCACAUAGAUCCGUGGCCGUGACAUGAGGAAACCUCCGCCACUUUGGCAAACAGCAUGCAAGUCCAGCAUAGGCCAUGGACCUUGUACAAUUGGGCUUUUAUCCCUGCUAAACUCUUAUUCUUCAGGUGGAUAAUUGUAUUGUCCUCAUCGGGAUUGUAACGGGGCUACCAGAUGAAUAUCCAGCUGCUUCCAUCCCUUUGAAGGAACAGUACACAAACCUGCAGCCUUAGCUCCCACCCUUACUACGGAAGGGGCUCAGCAUUCAGUCUGUAGGCAUAGCAGCAGAUUGGCAAGGUGACAUAACAACUAUUUGCAAGUCUACGUGCUGUCUGAAGUUACCAAAGUAAAUUGCACAGCAGUCUGCUUGGUAGUCCCUAAGAAGAUAAAGUGGUCAGUGCUGCUCUGCUUUGAAAAUAUCAGCCCUGCUUUGUGCAGAAUAUUGCAGACUGGCUGAAAUGUUGCCCAAGCAACAUCCACUCUUCAGCUGUACUUCUCACAGUGGCUUCAGCUGAAGAAGGGACAAGACCCAAGGAAGUGUUUGGAAAUCUCUCUUGCAUCCUCCCAGUCUGAGACCAACCAGAGCAGCUCCUGUUUGCAUUGGAUUUGUACAUCGUUGGCAUUGGAAGAAGAAACAUUCCAGUGUGAGAGGGAUCCUCAGCUGGCAAAGCUGUAUCUAGCAGAGGGCUUUGAACAAGCCCCGUGCAACUGAGAAAGAUGUUGGCUGAAAUGAACUGGAGGUCUUCCUCUUUAAUAUGGAUUUUAUGCUUGGUGCCAUGCAGACAGCGCUGGCAGGAGGACGAUUUCAGUCUCUGCUACAUCAAUGAAAACAAGGGGUUGUUUAAACUUGGCGUUGACACAAAUAAAAUAAAAACUGAGCUGUU
ensembl:lncRNA